UCUAAUAGUUUUGACCUCAUUAUUGUCAUAAAAUCAUUUAUCACACACCCGUGCCGAUUUUGCGACUCCGUAAAUAUGGUAUUGCACGGCCAUGCAUAUAUUUUGACGUGAUGUCAUAACAAGCGUGAUAAAAACAUAGUGUAAAGAGCGCUAAAUGUUAGCGUUAAACUAUAGGCGCGACAAUGAAAUAUGACUCUUAUUUCACUUUAAACGGUCUUUAUCUUGGGCAUGUGAUAAAUAGAAUAUUAAAUUCAUGUAAGUUCCAUACUGAAUUUAUUGCACUCGUUGAAUAAAAUAAUAUUAUGCUCACCAGAGGCUCGCAUUAUAUAAUUUUAUUCAACUCCUGCAAUAAAUUUAGUAUGGAACUUACACUCAUUCAAUAUCCUCUAUAUAGUAAGACUAAUUUAAAUUAACAGUUUGAUAUAAUAAAGAUAUCAUUAAAUAUCAAAGUUUUUUAAGAAUAUGAAACUUUUAUUUUGAAUACAAUGUAUAACAAGAUUUUUACAUGUCUUUGGUAUCAUCAAUUUCUAAAUUAAUCAAUGAUAUUUUAUUUGUAAAACCAAUUAUAUUUUGAGAAUUUAAUUCUAAAAUCUUAAGAAAUUUUCAACCGAGUAUUAAAUUUAAAAGGAAGAAUAAACUUUUGCUAUGGGAUAAAAGUUAUCUAUUUAUAAAAGGGAUUUUCAUAAAGGGACUGCAUUUUUGUUCAAUUUCAAGUUUUAAAUUGAUUGCAUCUAACAAUUUAUAAAUUUUGCUUUCAAUUACAGUUAACAGAUAUAAAUUGGAGAUUAAAUUUACAAAUGGCCCAAUCAAUAAAUUACCAAAUGCUAUGUUUGAACUUGGUGUCCAUCGUGAAGGGCAGGAAGAUAAAGAAAAGAUACGAAUGGAGUUCACUCAUGAUGAAUUAUAUAGAGGAUAUUGAAUGAGUGUAAGUUCAAUACUAAAUUUAUUGCACAAGUUGAAUAAAACUAUAUUUUGCGAGCCUCUGGCGGGCAAAAUAUUAUUUUAUUGAACGAGUGCAAUAAAUUCAUUAAUGAACUUACACGAAUUUAAUAUUUUAUUUGUCACAUACCAAAAAUAAAGACCGUUUAUAGUGAAAUAAGAGUUAUUUUUCAUUGACGCGCCUAUAGUAUAACGCUUACAUUUAGCGCGUCUUUACACUAUGUUUGUUUAACACUAAUGAUGUCACGUCAAAAUAUAUGCACGGCUGGCAUUACAAAAUUUACGGAGUCGCAAAAUCGGCACGGGUGUGUGAUAAAUCAAUUUUACAACCAGGCACUAUUUAAAAGAAUGAGUUAAUCUGUAUUUAUAUCAAAGUGUAAAAUUUAAGAUAAAAUUGUUACAGGUUUGGUCAGAUUUUUUUUUCUGUUGCCAAAACAAGAAACCUUAUCAGUUACUGGCAGUCAGUUCCUUUGAAACUUGUAGUAACAAACCAGCCCUUGAAAAGUUAAUAAAAUUUGGAAACUAUUCAGAAACAGAUUGAUGGUUUAAGCUGAAAGUUUAAACAAAGAUUAGAGGUAGUCCAGCCAAAGUGUUUUUUCAGUUCAAUGUCUUGUUUGAAAUAAAUGUGGAACAAUGUCAUACAAUGCAUUCCAGACAUUCCAUUUAACUUUUGCAGAAGUAAAAAAUAUAAUGUUUUGGUGUAGUAAGCUAAAAAUUUCUUGUAUUAAAAUACAUUCAAUUAAUUUAAUCAUUUGUAGAAGUUAAAUUAUUUUACAUGUCAGUCAGUAUGCUGAAAUACAUGUAUGAUGUUUAAUUUCACCGUUUUCUGCCCAAAAGUUUGUGUUACUGCUGUCAAGACAUAUAAGUUAUUAAAAUUUUGACAGGUUAUUAGCUUAAGUAUAGUUAUAUAUAAUAUAGUAAAAUAGACAUUUAUACACAGCUAUGUAACAUGUCAUAAUUUCCAUGAGGCAACACAUAUAUGUGAUCACUGAUGUAUUAUAUACAAUAAAUUUUUUAACUGCCCAAUUGUUUUCUUUGAUAAAAGAGCUAAAAAUUUGAUCUUCUAUUUAUUAGGAGUAUUUAAUAUUGUUUUUAAUGAAAUGUUUGUUGCAAUUCAUGAAUUGUAACCAAUGUCCUUUGCAUAUGUUGAUUGCUAGUCAUUUACAUACAUGUGAUUUUAUUGUGUAAACUAUAUGUAAAAACUGUGCAAUAAAUUAUUUUUUAUAAUGCAAA